UACGAAGGGGGCUAGCGUUGUUCGGAUUUACUGGGCGUAAAGCGCACGUAGGCGGAUCGUUAAGUCGGGGGUGAAAUCCUGGAGCUCAACUCUAGAACUGCCUUCGAUACUGGCGAUCUCGAGUCCGGAAGAGGUGAGUGGAACUCCUAGUGUAGAGGUGGAAUUCGUAGAUAUUAGGAAGAACACCAGUGGCGAAGGCGACUCACUGGUCCGGUACUGACGCUGAGGUGCGAAAGCGUGGGGAGCAAACAGG
rnacentral:rRNA from 1 species